UGGCGGCGUGCCUAAUACAUGCAAGUCGAGCGAAUCGACGGGAGCUUGCUCCCUGAGAUUAGCGGCGGACGGGUGAGUAACACGUGGGCAACCUGCCUAUAAGACUGGGAUAACUUCGGGAAACCGGAGCUAAUACCGGAUACGUUCUUUUCUCGCAUGAGAGAAGAUGGAAAGACGGUUUACGCUGUCACUUAUAGAUGGGCCCGCGGCGCAUUAGCUAGUUGGUGAGGUAAUGGCUCACCAAGGCGACGAUGCGUAGCCGACCUGAGAGGGUGAUCGGCCACACUGGGACUGAGACACGGCCCAGACUCCUACGGGAGGCAGCAGUAGGGAAUCUUCCGCAAUGGACGAAAGUCUGACGGAGCAACGCCGCGUGAACGAAGAAGGCCUUCGGGUCGUAAAGUUCUGUUGUUAGGGAAGAACAAGUACCAGAGUAACUGCUGGUACCUUGACGGUACCUAACCAGAAAGCCACGGCUAACUACGUGCCAGCAGCCG
rnacentral:rRNA from 1 species